rnacentral:rRNA from 1 species
GGACCUACGGGAGGCAGCAGUCGGGAAUAUUGCGCAAUGGAGGAAACUCUGACGCAGUGACGCCGCGUAUAGGAAGAAGGUUUUCGGAUUGUAAACUAUUGUCGUUAGGGAAGAUACAAGACAGUACCUAAGGAGGAAGCCCCGGCUAACUAUGUGCCAGCAGCCGCGGUAAUACAUAGGGGGCAAGCGUUAUCCGGAUUUAUUGGGUUUAAAGGGUGCGCAGGCGGCACGGCAAGCCGGCGGUCAAAUCGCGGGGCUCAACCCCGCCCAGCCGUCGGAACUGCCGGGCUAGAGUGGGCGAGAAG